GUAGGCGAACCUGCGGAAGGAUCAUUACCGUGAGGCUUCGGCCUCAUUGAGAUAGCACCCUUUGUUUAUGAGUACCCUUGUUUCCUCGACGGGCUUGCCCGCCAUGAGGACAUUACAAACCCUUUGUAGUGGCAGUAACUUCAGUUAAUAAUAAAUAUUAAAACUUUCAACAACGGAUCUCUUGGUUCUG
rnacentral:misc_RNA from 1 species